rnacentral:tRNA from 1 species
GCUGCCGUGGCCUACUGGUUAGGGCUUUGGGCUUAUAACUGAAGGGUUCGGUUCGAUCCCCGACCAGUAGGA